UCGCGGCGACGUGGGUGGUUCGCCGCCUGCGACGUCGCGAGAAUUCCACUGAACCUUAUCAUUUAGAGGAAGGAGAAGUCGUAACAAGGUUUCCGUAGGUGAACCUGCGGAAGGAUCAUUG
rnacentral:rRNA from 2 species